CUCUACCUUUUGGAUUGGAAUAACCUGUCGAAAGACGGGCUAAUGCCGAGUAAGCCUUCUUGAACGUGAAGUUCGAGACGGGAAAGAUGGCGCAAGCUAUCGCCGAAAGAUGAGCCUGCGUCCCAUUAGUUAGUUGUGGGGUAAUGGCUUACCAAGACAAUGAUGGGUACCUGGUUUGAGAGAAUGAUCAGGCACACUGGAACUGAAACACGGUCCAGACUCCUACGGGAGGCAGCAGUAGGGAAUAUUGCGCAAUGGACGAAAGUCUGACGCAGCCACGCCGCGUGAGUGAGGAAGGCCUUCGGGUUGUAAAGCUCUGUCGGCUGGGAAAAACGGCUAUCCGGGGAAAGUUCGGGUAGCGUGAUGGUACCAGCAAAGGAAGCACCGGCAAACUCUGUG
rnacentral:rRNA from 1 species